rnacentral:lncRNA from 1 species
CUGUUGCCAGGUAGGUAUGCUCAGGGCAGGCCUGGGGAGCUCCCGAGUGGGUCUCACUUCCUCCAGGGCAGUAGUGGCCAGAGGGGCAGGCCUGGGUGGCCGGGGUGCCUGCAGAGCAAGGGCUGCCCUCACUUUUCUCCCCAGAUGUGGGGCUGGAAGGUUCCAAUCUCACAGGUCCUUGGCUGGGGUGAUCCCUCAGCCAAGGUGAUCCCUCAGCCAUCCCCACCAAACAACUCAAGCCACAGCAAAUGCCCAAAAUGUACUUUAACCACAACCACAACCCUCUGCAAGCCUUCUUGCCUCAGGCCUGACUCUAGCGGGGCACCUCUCCUCUGGCUUCCUCCCACCUGCUCAGGGGCACAGGUGCAAGCCGGAGGAAUCAGAUCUGUCUGCAGUCCUGGGACAGGAGGGCGAGUUGGGCUGAGAGCGGAGCCCAAGGAUACAGUCACGGCAGAAGGAUCCCAGGGGGCAGGGAGCCCCUGUCACCCUGUCCUUUGGAGAAGGGGAUGAUGCACCUUCUGCACAGAAGUAGCCAGGCUGGCAGGGCCCGCUGGGGGUGGAGAGGCCUGCCGCACAAGGCCCAGAGGCCCGGGUCAGGUUCUCCUACCCGCAGCAGUGGCCUGGGGGACAGGGCAGGCAGCUGUCCAGGCUCUGGGUCAGUGGGUCUGGGUCGUAGUAGCUCCGAGGGCAGGGGAACUGGGUGGCGUACUUCGUGCCUCGGGGCAGUAGAAGCCAGCGGGACAGGGGUGCCUGCUGUAGUUGGUGACGUUCUCGGGGCAGUAGUAGCCAGUGGGGCAAGGGAAGCAGGAGGCCUGGCCAGUCAGGUAGCUGUAGGAGCCAGCAGGGCAGGGCUGUGGGAGGCUGGUUCCCCUGGGGCAGAAGUGGCCUCGGGGACAGGGGCCCCCCUGCCCUGAGUGGCCUUUCUCUGUUAUGCCCUCCGUCCCUGCCGCUCGCCUGCCCUGCGGGAGGGGCCAUCGUGGCGGUGGGGUCCACGUCCAGCCCUGCCUCUCCUCAGGCUUAUUCUGCUCUGCAGCCUCCUCCAGGACAGGUGUUUCUU